CGCGCGAUACAGGGUGACAGCCCCGUACACAAAAGCGCAUGUGCUGUGAGCUCGAUGAGUAGGGCGGGACACGUGGUAUCCUGUCUGAAUAUGGGGGGACCAUCCUCCAAGGCUAAAUACUCCUGACUGACCGAUAGUGAACCAGUACCGUGAGGGAAAGGCGAAAAGAACCCCGGCGAGGGGAGUGAAAAAGAACCUGAAACCGUGUACGUACAAGCAGUGGGAGCACCCUUUGGGGUGUGACUGCGUACCUUUUGUAUAAUGGGUCAGCGACUUAUAUUCUGUAGCAAGGUUAACCGUAUAGGGGAGCCGGAGGGAAACCGAGUCUUAACCGGGCGUUAAGUUGCAGGGUAUAGACCCGAAACCCGGUGAUCUAGCCAUGGGCAGGUUGAAGGUUGGGUAACACUAACUGGAGGACCGAACCGACUAAUGUUGAAAAAUUAGCGGAUGACCUGUGGCUGGGGGUGAAAGGCCAAUCAAACCGGGAGAUAGCUGGUUCUCCCCGAAAGCUAUUUAGGUAGCGCCUCGUGAAUUCAUCUCCGGGGGUAGAGCACUGUUUCGGCUAGGGGGCCAUCCCGGCUUACCAACCCGAUGCAAACUGCGAAUACCGGAGAAUGUUAUCACGGGAGACACACGGCGGGUGCUAACGUCCGUCGUGAAGAGGGAAACAACCCAGACCGCCAGCUAAGGUCCCAAAGUCAUGGUUAAGUGGGAAACGAUGUGGGAAGGCCCAGACAGCCAGGAUGUUGGCUUAGAAGCAGCCAUCAUUUAAAGAAAGCGUAAUAGCUCACUGGUCGAGUCGGCCUGCGCGGAAGAUGUAACGGGGCUAAACCAUGCACCGAAGCUGCGGCAGCGACACUCAGGUGUUGUUGGGUAGGGGAGCGUUCUGUAAGCCUGCGAAGGUGUGUCGUGAGGC
rnacentral:rRNA from 1 species